GAUGAACGCUGGCGGCGUGCCUAAUACAUGCAAGUCGAGCGAACGGACGAGAAGCUUGCUUCUCUGAUGUUAGCGGCGGACGGGUGAGUAACACGUGGAUAACCUACCUAUAAGACUGGGAUAACUUCGGGAAACCGGAGCUAAUACCGGAUAAUAUUUUGAACCGCACGGUUCAAAAGUGAAAGACGGUCUUGCUGUCACUUAUAGAUGGAUCCGCGCUGGAUUAGCUUGUUGGUAAGGUAACGGCUUACCAAGGCAACGAUGCAUAGCCGACCUGAGAGGGUGAUCGGCCACACUGGAACUGAGACACGGUCCAGACUCCUACGGGAGGCAGCAGUAGGGAAUCUUCCGCAAUGGGCGAAAGCCUGACGGAGCAACGCCGCGUGAGUGAUGAAGGUCUUCGGAUCGUAAAACUCUGUUAUUAGGGAAGAACAUAUGUGUAAGUAACUGUGCACAUCUUGACGGUACCUAAUCAGAAAGCCACGGCUAACUACGUG
rnacentral:rRNA from 1 species